ACCCGCUGAACUUAAGCAUAUCAAUAAGCGGAGGAAAAGAAACUAACAAGGAUUCCCCUAGUAACGGCGAGUGAAGCGGGAACAGCUCAAAUUUGAAAUCUCACAAGUUUUCUUGUGCGAAUUGUAGUUUAUAGAAACGUUUUCGGAGGUGGCUUGGGCAUAAGUCCUUUGGAAUGAGGCAUCAUAGAGGGUGACAAUCCCGUCUUUGGUCCAAUGUCCGCUUCUAUGUGAUACGUUUUCUAAGAGUCGGUUUGUUUGGGAAUGCAGACCAAAAUGGGUGGUAAAUACCAUCUAAAGCUAAAUAUUGGCGAGAGACCGAUAGCGAACAAGUACCGUGAGGGAAAGAUGAAAAGAACUUUGAAAAGAGAGUUAAACAGUACGUGAAAUUGUCAAAAGGGAAACGCUUGAAACCAGUAUUGCUUGCAAGUAAUCAGCCGUACCUUUUGGUGCGGUGCACUUGCUUGCCAGCAGGUCAACAUCAGUUUGACUUGGGGUAAAAAGCCAGAAGAAGGUAGCCCGGGGUUCGCUCUGGGUGUUAUAGCUUCUGGUCCUGCCCUGGGUUGGACUGAGGUCUGCAGUGUUAUUUGGGUUACCAGUCGCCUUCUGACGGUCUGUUGCAGACAGCACGCUGACUGUGACAGCUCUUAGGAAGCCCGGUUGAGAUUCCACACCAACGCUUAGGAUGUUGACGAAAUGGUUUUAAACGACCCGUCUUGAAACACGG
rnacentral:rRNA from 1 species